rnacentral:rRNA from 1 species
GGGUUGUGAGGUUAAGCGACUAAGCGUACACGGUGGAUGCCCUGGCAGUCAGAGGCGAUGAAGGACGUGCUAAUCUGCGAAAAGCGUCGGUAAGGUGAUAUGAACCGUUAUAACCGGCGAUGUCCGAAUGGGGAAACCCAGUGUGAUUCGUCACACUAUCGUUAACUGAAUACAUAGGUUAACGAGGCGAACCGGGGGAACUGAAACAUCUAAGUACCCCGAGGAAAAGAAAUCAACCGAGAUUCCCCCAGUAGCGGCGAGCGAACGGGGAGCAGCCCAGAGUCUGAAUCAGCUUGUGUGUUAGUGGAACGGUCUGGAAAGUCCGACGGUACAGGGUGAUAGUCCCGUACACCAAAAUGCACAGGCUGUGAACUCGAAGAGUAGGGCGGGACACGUGGUAUCCUGUCUGAAUAUGGGGGGACCAUCCUCCAAGGCUAAAUACUCCUGACUGACCGAUAGUGAACCAGUACCGUGAGGGAAAGGCGAAAAGAACCCCGGCGAGGGGAGUGAAAAAGAACCUGAAACCGUGUACGUACAAGCAGUGGGAGCACCUUCGGGUGUGACUGCGUACCUUUUGUAUAAUGGGUCAGCGACUUAUAUUCUGUAGCAAGGUUAACCGUAUAGGGGAGCCGCAGGGAAACCGAGUCUUAACUGGGCGUUAAGUUGCAGGGUAUAGACCCGAAACCCGGUGAUCUAGCCAUGGGCAGGUUGAAGGUUGGGUAACACUAACUGGAGGACCGAACCGACUAAUGUUGAAAAAUUAGCGGAUGACUUGUGGCUGGGGGUGAAAGGCCAAUCAAACCGGGAGAUAGCUGGUUCUCCCCGAAAGCUAUUUAGGUAGCGCCUCGUGAAUUCAUCUUCGGGGUAGAGCACUGUUUCGGCUAGGGGGUCAUCCCGACUUACCAACCCGAUGCAAACUACGAAUACCGAAGAAUGUUAUCACGGGAGACACACGGCGGGUGCUAACGUCCGUCGUGAAGAGGGAAACAACCCAGACCGCCAGCUAAGGUCCCAAAGUCAUGGUUAAGUGGGAAACGAUGUGGGAAGGCACAGACAGCCAGGAUGUUGGCUUAGAAGCAGCCAUCAUUUAAAGAAAGCGUAAUAGCUCACUGGUCGAGUCGGCCUGCGCGGAAGAUGUAACGGGGCUAAACCAUGCACCGAAGCUGCGGCAGCGACACUAUGUGUUGUUGGGUAGGGGAGCGUUCUGUAAGCCUGCGAAGGUGUGCUGUGAGGCAUGCUGGAGGUAUCAGAAGUGCGAAUGCUGACAUAAGUAACGAUAAAGCGGGUGAAAAGCCCGCUCGCCGGAAGACCAAGGGUUCCUGUCCAACGUUAAUCGGGGCAGGGUGAGUCGACCCCUAAGGCGAGGCCGAAAGGCGUAGUCGAUGGGAAACAGGUUAAUAUUCCUGUACUUGGUGUUACUGCGAAGGGGGGACGGAGAAGGCUAUGUUAGCCGGGCGACGGUUGUCCCGGUUUAAGCAUGUAGGCUGGUUGUCCAGGCAAAUCCGGAUAAUCAAGGCUGAGGUGUGAUGACGAGGCACUACGGUGCUGAAGUAACAAAUGCCCUGCUUCCAGGAAAAGCCUCUAAGCAUCAGGUAACAUCAAAUCGUACCCCAAACCGACACAGGUGGUCAGGUAGAGAAUACCAAGGCGCUUGAGAGAACUCGGGUGAAGGAACUAGGCAAAAUGGUGCCGUAACUUCGGGAGAAGGCACGCUGGUGUGUAGGUGAAGUCCCUGCGGAUGGAGCUGAGACCAGUCGAAGAUACCAGCUGGCUGCAACUGUUUAUUAAAAACACAGCACUGUGCAAACACGAAAGUGGACGUAUACGGUGUGACGCCUGCCCGGUGCCGGAAGGUUAAUUGAUGGGGUUAUCCGUAAGGAGAAGCUCUUGAUCGAAGCCCCGGUAAACGGCGGCCGUAACUAUAACGGUCCUAAGGUAGCGAAAUUCCUUGUCGGGUAAGUUCCGACCUGCACGAAUGGCGUAAUGAUGGCCAGGCUGUCUCCACCCGAGACUCAGUGAAAUUGAACUCGCUGUGAAGAUGCAGUGUACCCGCGGCAAGACGGAAAGACCCCGUGAACCUUUACUAUAGCUUGACACUGAACAUUGAGCCUUGAUGUGUAGGAUAGGUGGGAGGCUUUGAAGCGUGGACGCCAGUCUGCGUGGAGCCAACCUUGAAAUACCACCCUUUAAUGUUUGAUGUUCUAACGUUGGCCCCUUACCGGGGUUGCGGACAGUGUCUGGUGGGUAGUUUGACUGGGGCGGUCUCCUCCCAAAGCGUAACGGAGGAGCACGAAGGUUAGCUAAUCCUGGUCGGACAUCAGGAGGUUAGUGCAAUGGCAUAAGCUAGCUUGACUGCGAGCGUGACGGCGCGAGCAGGUGCGAAAGCAGGUCAUAGUGAUCCGGUGGUUCUGAAUGGAAGGGCCAUCGCUCAACGGAUAAAAGGUACUCCGGGGAUAACAGGCUGAUACCGCCCAAGAGUUCAUAUCGACGGCGGUGUUUGGCACCUCGAUGUCGGCUCAUCACAUCCUGGGGCUGAAGUAGGUCCCAAGGGUAUGGCUGUUCGCCAUUUAAAGUGGUACGCGAGCUGGGUUUAGAACGUCGUGAGACAGUUCGGUCCCUAUCUGCCGUGGGCGCUGGAGAAUUGAGGGGGGCUGCUCCUAGUACGAGAGGACCGGAGUGGACGCAUCACUGGUGUUCGGGUUGUCAUGCCAAUGGCACUGCCCGGUAGCUAAAUGCGGAAGAGAUAAGUGCUGAAAGCAUCUAAGCACGAAACUUGCCCCGAGAUGAGUUCUCCCUGAGACUUUAAGUCUCCUGAAGGAACGUUAAAGACGAUGACGUUGAUAGGCCGGGUGUGUAAGCGCAGCGAUGCGUUGAGCUAACCGGUACUAAUGAACCGUGAGGCUUAACCUUACAACGCCGAAG